rnacentral:rRNA from 1 species
GACGAACGCUGGCGGAAUGCUUUACACAUGCAAGUCGAACGGCAGCACGGACUUCGGUCUGGUGGCGAGUGGCGAACGGGUGAGUAAUACAUCGGAACGUGCCCAAUCGUGGGGGAUAACGUAGCGAAAGCUACGCUAAUACCGCAUACGAUCUAAGGAUGAAAGCGGGGGAUCGCAAGACCUCGCGCGAAUGGAGCGGCCGACGGCAGAUUAGGUAGUUGGUAGGGUAAAGGCCUACCAAGCCGACGAUCUGUAGCUGGUCUGAGAGGAUGAUCAGCCACACUGGGACUGAGACACGGCCCAGACUCCUACGGGAGGCAGCAGUGGGGAAUUUUGGACAAUGGACGCAAGUCUGAUCCAGCCAUUCCGCGUGCAGGAUGAAGGCCCUCGGGUUGUAAACUGCUUUUGUACAGAACGAAAAGGCUCUGGUUAAUACCUGGGGCUCAUGACGGUACUGUAAGAAUAAGCACCGGCUAACUACGUGCCAGCCGCCGCCGUAA